AUAAGCAGGUUUUUUAGGCCUACUUAUAUGCUGAACGGUGUGAGGUUGAGUUCAAUUCCCCUACAAACACUAACAUGUCGAUGCAGCUAUAGGGGGUGUCAAUCCAGUCCACUGUUAUUGCUAGCAAUCAAGACGUGUAAAGAGGCAACUAAGUCAAGCCAGAUUAUAAUGAUGAUGGGUUUCUAGUAACAAUCCUAGGUCAAGAUUCAAACAAGUAAAAAUGAGAACUUAAGAGCCCUACUCGAUCAUUGGGUCGAGUAGAAUCAACAUGCAGAACUAAAAUGCAAUCAACAAAGGAUACAAAUAGGGAUACAAAUAACAGGUAAAUGAAAGUGCAAUCAACAGGGGAUACAAAUAAAUCUAAUAGAAGUUCUAAGGAUGGAUUCAUUGAUAAGGGCAACUCUAGGGUUCAUCAGAUGGCUAAUAGGUGAAAGGUAGAUACCCUUGACGAUAGAUUCAAAAACCGGGUCUAUCCACUGUCGUGACAGAGACCCCCAUAACUCUACCACUUCCUAAUCUGAACUGUCGUUGAUGAAACAUAGCAGAGCAGGGUUUAAGAAAUAAUCUACCAAAGCCAAUAAGCAGACAAGCCAAUGUCUUGGUCGAGUCUACAAAUCUCUGGAAUUCGUAGAUCAGACAUCCAUCUGAACGUCUUUGGAUGUUGGACGUCUAUGAUCGAAUCUCCACAUUAGCCAGCGAAAACCGCAUAGGGGCCAAGCGAAUCCAGAAGGGUUCUAACCUAAUCUUAACCACCUAACUAACCUAGAGAUUACCCUAAUAUAAUCCGUCCUCAAGAACCCUAAUCACUACUCAAGCAACAUUCUCAAGAACACAAACCCAAAAAUUACUUAAAUCAUACCAAAAUGUAGAUCUAAACAAACUAAACAACUUUACUUAAACAACUAAAUGCAAAAACGAAAUAGAUUAAGAGUAAUUAAGUUUUGAAGAUUCAUAAACACAAAGAAAAAUUAAAGGAUAAAAGCUGGAUCCCUUGGACAAACCCCAAAGUA
rnacentral:sRNA from 1 species